rnacentral:rRNA from 1 species
GAUGAACGCUGGCGGCGUGCCUAAUACAUGCAAGUCGAGCGAACAGACGAGGAGCUUGCUCCUCUGACGUUAGUGGCGGACGGGUGAGUAACACGUGGAUAACCUACCUAUAAGACUGGGAUAACUUCGGGAAACCGGAGCUAAUACCGGAUAAUAUAUUGAACCGCAUGGUUCAAUAGUGAAAGACGGUUUUGCUGUCACUUAUAGAUGGAUCCGCGCCGCAUUAGCUAGUUGGUAAGGUAACGGCUUACCAAGGCGACGAUGCGUAGCCGACCUGAGAGGGUGAUCGGCCACACUGGAACUGAGACACGGUCCAGACUCCUACGGGAGGCAGCAGUAGGGAAUCUUCCGCAAUGGGCGAAAGCUUGACGGAGCAACGCCGCGUGAGUGAUGAAGGUCUUCGGAUCGUAAAACUCUGUUAUUAGGGUAGAACAAAUGUGUAAGUAACUAUGCACGUCUUGACGGUACCUAAUCAGAAAGCCACGGCUAACUACGUG